rnacentral:rRNA from 1 species
GAUGAACGCUGGCGGCGUGCUUAACACAUGCAAGUCGAACGAAGCGCCUUGGACAGAUUCUUCGGAUGAAGUCUUUGGUGACUGAGUGGCGGACGGGUGAGUAACGCGUGGGUAACCUGCCUCAUACAGGGGGAUAACAGUUAGAAAUGGCUGCUAAUACCGCAUAAGCGCACGGUACUGCAUGGUACAGUGUGAAAAACUCCGGUGGUAUGAGAUGGACCCGCGUUGGAUUAGGCAGUUGGCGGGGUAACGGCCCACCAAACCGACGAUCAGUAGCCGGCCUGAGAGGGCGACCGGCCACAUUGGGACUGAGACACGGCCCAAACUCCUACGGGAGGCAGCAGUGGGGAAUAUUGCACAAUGGGGGAAACCCUGAUGCAGCGACGCCGCGUGAGCGAAGAAGUAUUUCGGUAUGUAAAGCUCUAUCAGCAGGGAAGAUAAUGACGGUACCUGACUAAGAAGCC